GGCGCGUUCGUCUAGUGGCUUAGGACAUCGCCCUCUCAAGGCGGGGAUCGCGGGUUCGAAUCCCGCACGCGCUACAA
rnacentral:tRNA from 1 species